UACAGAGGGUGCGAGCGUUAAUCGGAAUUACUGGGCGUAAAGGGCGCGUAGGCGGUCGUAAUAGUGUGAUGUGAAAGCCCCGGGCUUAACCUGGGAAGUGCAUCGCAAACGUUGCGACUGGAGUACAAGAGAGGGUGGCGGAAUUUCCGGUGUAGCGGUGUAAUGCGUAGAGAUCGGAAGGAACGUCAAUGGCGAAGGCAGCCACCUGGCUUGAUACUGCCGCUGAGGCGCGAAAGCGUGGGGAGCGAUCAGG
rnacentral:rRNA from 1 species